GAUUUCUUUGCUGGUGUCACAUCGUUUUUUAUUAUUAUAUGGAGGGUUCUAACACUGAUAAAGUCCCAAUCAUUCCAGAAUGUAGAUCCGACUUGAAGCCUUAUGUUGGCAAGCUUUUUGAAUCUGUAGAAGAUGGCGUUUCUUUUUAUGAAGAAUAUGCUAACGUAUGUCGGUUAGAUACCCGAAGAUUUGGUCACAAAUUAUCAAUUGGCGUCAAAACUUGGUAGACUCUAGUUUGUAGCAGGCAAGGUGAACUGUUGUGUGACGAGGAAAAUGAAAGCACUACGCCCGAGGGUAGUGCCAACAAGCGUAGAUGGCGUUCUAGUAGAUUUCUCUGCAAUGCGAGACUUACCUUGAAGUAAGUAAUCGUUUCUGGCAGUGCAAGAUAUGUUAUUAGCAACUUCAUAGAAAACCACAAUCACGAGAUGGUUGACAGAAGCACGUUCGAUACAAGAAAUCCAACCGUAAGCUUGGGGAUAUCCAUUAUAAAUUCAUGCAGGAUUCCGCAAAGGCAAAUAUUGGGCAUACAACAACUUUCAACUUGUUAAAGGAGUUCAUGGGUGGAUACGAUUCCGUUGGCUGCACCGUCACUGACAUACGUAAUAGUACUCGUGACAUAUUGCAGCAAAUGAAAGACGUUGAUAUCAAGUUAAUUUUAAAUCAAAUGGAGGAGAAGAAGGCUAGCUGCGACGGGUUCCAUUACAAAUUCCAACAAGCUAGUGAUGGCAAGUUACUUAGUCUUUUCUGGUGGGAUGCUAUGUGCAGGAAGAACUACAAGAUGUUUGGUGAAGUUGUAUCAUUUGAUACUACAUAUUCCACAAACAGGUAUUGCAUGGUGUUUGGUCCAUUCACGGGGAAAGACAACCACGGAUGUCCAGUAGCAUUUUGGGCCGGAUUUGUGUCAAGUGAAGGCGCAGACUCUUUCUCUUGGUUGUUGAGAGAGUUUGUAGAAUGUAAGGGGGGGCUCCUAAGUUGAUAAUAACUGAUCAGGAUUGGGGGAUGAAGCUUGCUAUAGAACAUAUGCUAAACGGUACCAGACACCGUUGGUGUAUGUGGCAUAUCAUGUUGAAACUGCCUGAUAAGGUUCCCAAAAAAAUACUUGCUAGCGAAAAUUUGAAGAGGGAUUUGGACUCUUGUGUGUGGUCGGAAUUAUUGGAGCUAGAGCAAUUUGAAGAAACAUGGCUGGCAAUUAUGGAUCGAUAUGGCUUGCAAGAUGAAUCUUGGUUCAAAACUAUGUUUGAGCAAAGUGAAUAUUUGAUACCAACUUAGUUUAGAGACUUCCCAAUGGGGUCAUUGUUGAAGACAACAUCAUUUUAUGAGUCUGAGAAUAGUUUCUUCAAAAGGUACACCAAGCCAUACUACAAUCUUGCUGACUUUAUAAUGCAGUACAACAGUGGAUUGGAUUCACAACGGAACCUAACAGAAAGACUUGAUUUUGUUGAUUCCACCAAAGUCCCAAUUAUGUCAACAAAGUUGUUGAUUGAGAAACAUGCAACAUCUAUGUACACUGAUCGUAUUUUCCAGCAAGUACAAGAUGAGAUCGUUGAGGGACAUCGAAGGUGCCGAAUGAAACAUUGUGAUGUGGCAAAUAAUUAUGAGAUAUACACAUUGACUGAUAGUCAUCCCAACAAAUGUGUUGUCCGUCAUGAGGUUGGCACUGAAUGGUACGAGUGCGACUGCAAGCUGUUUCUGCGGCGUGGAAUAUUGUGUUGCCACGUUUUUUAGGUUUUCAAAAACCACGACCUUACAUUAAUACCAGAUAGAUAUCUUGGUACAAGGUGGCUGAAGACAUCGCUGUUAAAGGAAGUUCACAGUGAGCCUAAUGAGGAGUCAACGCUUACUGCAGUUACUACAGAGUCGCAAGUUGAUAAAAAAAUGAGAAGUUGCAACAAAACUGCACUCGUUGUACUUUCAUUUAUUUCAACGCGCCCAAAGCAACGACGAUGACAUUACUGCAUUGUUUGACGGUAUGGAAGCCCUAGGGGAAAAACUAUUCGAUGGUACUUUUCCAUUAGUCUCAUCGAUGGAUAAAGAACAGAGAUUUGAGAAUCUGUACGGAUCUUCUCGACCUAGUGUUGUAACUGUGCACCCUCCUGAUGUGGUGAAGACAAAGGGUUCAGGAAGAGGCGGCAGAAUUGUGUCACCGAAAGAGAAGGCUAUGAGGGAACAACAAAGGCCUCGUCGGCGAUGUGGAAAAUGUGGAGAAGUUGGUCACCACGAUUCAAGAAACUGCGCCAGGCAAAAAGAUAAAGCCAAAAAGUAGUGGGUUUUAGUUUUUUUUAUGUUUACAUGCCACUUGA